rnacentral:rRNA from 1 species
UUCCCUACGGGGCGCAGCAGUGGGGAAUAUUGCACAAUGGGGGAAACCCUGAUGCAGCGACGCCGCGUGGGUGAAGAAGUACUUCGGUACGUAAAGCCCUAUCAGCAGGGAAGAAAAUGACGGUACCUGAUUAAGAAGCCCCGGCUAACUACGUGCCAGCAGCCGCGGUAAUACGUAGGGGGCAAGCGUUAUCCGGAUUUACUGGGUGUAAAGGGAGCGUAGACGGCGGCGCAAGUCCGGAGUGAAAGCCCACGGCCCAACCGUGGGACUGCUCUGGAAACUGUGCGGCUUGAGUGCGGGAGGGG